rnacentral:rRNA from 1 species
AGAGUUUGAUCAUGGCUCAGGAUGAACGCUAGCGGCAGGCUUAAUACAUGCAAGUCGAGGGGCAGCACGGGUAGCAAUACCUGGUGGCGACCGGCAAACGGGUGCGGAACACGUACACAACCUUCCUUUCGGUGGGGGAUAGCCCAGAGAAAUUUGGAUUAAUACCCCAUAAUAUAUUGUGGUUGCAUAACUGUGAUAUUAAAGAUUUAUUGCCGGAAGAUGGGUGUGCGUAUGAUUAGGUAGUUGGUUGAGGUAACGGCUCACCAAGCCUUCGAUCAUUAACUGGUGUGAGAGCACGACCAGUCACACGGGCACUGAGACACGGGCCCGACUCCUACGGGAGGCAGCAGUAAGGAAUAUUGGUCAAUGGACGCAAGUCUGAACCAGCCAUGCCGCGUGAAGGAUGACGGCCCUCUGGGUUGUAAACUUCUUUUAUGUGGGACGAAAAAAGGGAAUUCUUUCCCGUCUGACGGUACCAUAUGAAUAAGCACCGGCUAACUCCGUGCCAGCAGCCGCGGUAAUACGGAGGGUGCAAGCGUUAUCCGGAUUCACUGGGUUUAAAGGGAGCGCAGGCGGAUUGGUAAGUCAGUGGUGAAAGGCUUAAGCUUAACUUGGGAACUGCCAUUGAUACUAUCAGUCUUGAAUGUUGUUGAGGUUUGCGGAAUGGGUCUGUAGCGGUGAAAUGCAUAGAUAUGACCCGGAACACCUAUUGCGAAGGCAGCAGGCUAAACAAAUAUUGACGCUGAGGCUCGAAAGCGUGGGGAUCAAACAGGAUUAGAUACCCUCGUAGUCC